rnacentral:lncRNA from 1 species
UCAAGCCAUUCCGUAACCGAUGUUAAAGAGUCUCACAUUAUCAUGAUAAACCAAAAGAAUAUGAUCCUAGUCAAAAUCAAAGAUAUGUACUGGAAAUCAGAGAUCCUUUCAUCCAAAAAAUAGAUAUCAAAAAGUAUACAAAGAAAUGCUAACCUGGUUCCGAUAAAUAAUGUAUGCAAGACAGAAAUAGGCCAAGAGGAACGGUAAAAUUAGUGGAGCUAGGAAGAAAUAUGUAAUACCAAGAAGUCCAAAGAAAAGGACCCUUGGAACAUCCCUGUGGUAAGGAAUAGAUGGAACAUCAAUUUCAUGUUCAGGACUUGUGAAGGGCUUACUUAUCAGACUGCAAAUAAGAGGAAUUAUCCGGAAGAGUUCGGAUAACAC